GGCCAGCAUUUUUGUAGCCAUAGUAGAGAUGGCGACCGGCGCACGGGUGAGUAACACGUAUCCAACCUGCCGAUAACUCCGGGAUAGCCUUUCGAAAGAAAGAUUAAUACCGGAUAGUAUACGAAUAUCGCAUGAUAUUUUUAUUAAAGAAUUUCGGUUAUCGAUGGGGAUGCGUUCCAUUAGUUUGUUGGCGGGGUAACGGCCCACCAAGACUACGAUGGAUAGGGGUUCUGAGAGGAAGGUCCCCCACAUUGGAACUGAGACACGGUCCAAACUCCUACGGGAGGCAGCAGUGAGGAAUAUUGGUCAAUGGGCGAGAGCCUGAACCAGCCAAGUAGCGUGAAGGAUGAAGGCUCUAUGGGUCGUAAACUUCUUUUAUAUGGGAAUAAAGUUUUCCACGUGUGGAAUUUUGUAUGUACCAUAUGAAUAAGGAUCGGCUAACUCCGUGCCAGCAGCCGCGGUAAUACGGAGGAUCCGAGCGUUAUCCGGAUUUAUUGGGUUUAAAGGGAGCGUAGGUGGAUUGUUAAGUCAGUUGUGAAAGUUUGCGGCUCAACCGUAAAAUUGCAGUUGAAACUGGCAGUCUUGAGUACAGUAGAGGUGGGCGGAAUUCGUGGUUAGCGG
rnacentral:rRNA from 1 species